rnacentral:lncRNA from 1 species
GUCACCUCUAAAUUCCUCACAGAGAGUUUCCAGAGUCCUCUGGGGAUGUAGUACAGAGCAUAGCCUGCAUGCCUCUCCUUCUUCAUCUCCAUGGAAACUCUAGCACAUCUGGAAAUGUCUGGAGUCUGUCCAUGCACAGAAUAUAAUGCUUGACCUGGCCUCUUGGGUCCUUCCUUUGGACAUCACACAGUGGCAGAGGCCUUCAGCCCUGAAGACAACAUUUGGUUCCAGCAGGCCUGGCGUUGUUAGGAUGGAUGAGCCUUUUAACCUGCUUAGACCUCAGUUUUCUCACCUGUACAAUGAAGAUGAGGAUACUGAUACCCACAGAAGUUACAAGAUUUACACAAUACCCAAUAUCACAAGACAGCUGUUCUGGAAAUUUUGGUUGAAGGCCCUGGCAUCCUGCACAUACUCAGCUCCACAGUGAGGCUGUGGGGAAGACCCAGCCCAGCAACCUAGAGAAGAUGCCCAGAGCAAGAUGCUUUCUCCUAUCUUCCCAGCCCUUAAGCAGAUGCAUCUGCAUCCCAGC